ensembl:snRNA
GUGUUGUAUGAAAGGUUGGCACUGUCCUUGAUAAGGAUGGAAGAGGCCCUCAGGCCUGACAACAUGCAUACAGUUAAGGCAUUGCCUUAACCUGAGAUUCAAGAUCAAAUGGCAUAGUUACUACUUAACUGG